rnacentral:rRNA from 1 species
UACGUAGGGUGCAAGCGUUAAUCGGAAUUACUGGGCGUAAAGCGUGCGCAGGCGGUUAUGUAAGACAGAUGUGAAAUGCCCGGGCUUAACCUGGGAACUGCAUUUGUGACUGCAUGGCUAGAAUCUGGCAGAGGGGGGUAGAAUUCCACGUGUAGCAGUGAAAUGCGUAGAUAUGUGGACGGAAUACCGAUGGCGAAGGCAGCCCCUGGCUAAGAUUGACGCUCAUGCACGAAAGCGUGGGGAGCAAACAGG